UCCGGUUUGUCACCGGCAGUCUCAUUAGAGUGCCCAACUUAAAUGUAGCAACUAAUGACAAGGGUUUCGCUCGUUAAGGGACUUAACCCGACACUUCACAGCACGAGCUGACGACAGCCAUGCAGCACCUGUGCACGUUCCACCCUUGCGGGUGUGGCCCCGUUUUCACGGGGUUAAUCCGUGCAUGUCAAGCCCUGGAUAAGGUUCUUCGCGUUGCUUCGAAUUAAGCCACAUGCUCCACCGCUUGUGUGAGCCCCCGUCAAUUCCUUUGAGUUUUAGCCUUGCGGCCGUACUCCCCAGGCGGGGUGCUUAAUGCGUUAGCUUCGGCACGGAGGGAGUCGACACCCCCCACACCUAGCACCCAUCGUUUACGGCGUGGACUAC
rnacentral:misc_RNA from 1 species